AUUGAACGCUGGCGGCAGGCCUAACACAUGCAAGUCGAACGAGUGGCGGACGGGUGAGUAAUGUCUGGGAAACUGCCUGAUGGAGGGGGAUAACUACUGGAAACGGUAGCUAAUACCGCAUACUAUUCGAGCGGCCAAUAUCGGAUUAGCUAGUUGGUGGGGUAAAGGCUCACCAAGGCGACGAUCCCUAGCGGGUCUGAGAGGAUGACCCGCCACACUGGAACUGAGACACGGCCCAGACUCCUACGGGAGGCAGCAGUGGGGAAUAUUGGACAAUGGGCGCAAGCCUGAUGCAGCCAUGCCGCGUGUAUGAAGAAGGCCUUCGGGUUGUAAAGUACUUUUAGCAGGGAGGCGGUACCCACAGAAGAAGCACCGGCUAACUACGUGCCAGCAGCCGCGGUAAUAC
rnacentral:rRNA from 1 species